GACACGCAUGGCGGGUGCUCAUUGCGAGCUGCUCUUUCCUGCGUUCGGCGGUCUGCUGUCGGCGGGACGUCCUUGGUCACAGGAUGGAGCAGCUCGUAUGGGCUGAGAUCAUACCGUUGCGAACCUGAUCAGCAUAAUUGCUGCGAAGGGACAUGCUCUUUCCCCAUU
rnacentral:ncRNA from 1 species